GAUGAACGCUGGCGGCGUGCCUAAUACAUGCAAGUCGAGCGGUAAGGUCCCUUCGGGGAUACACGAGCGGCGGACGGCUGAGUAACACGUAGGAACGUACCCCAAAGUGAGGGAUAAGCACCGGAAACGGUGUCUAAUACCGCAUGUGAUCCACGGAUUAAAGCUUUAUGCGCUUUGGGAACGGCCUGCGUCCGAUUAGCUUGUUGGUGAGGUAAUAGCCCACCAAGGCGACGAUCGGUAGCUGGUCUGAGAGGAUGAUCAGCCAGACUGGGACUGAGACACGGCCCAGACUCCUACGGGAGGCAGCAGUAGGGAAUUUUCCACAAUGGGGGCAACCCUGAUGGAGCAACGCCGCGUGCAGGAUGAAGGCUUUCGGGUCGUAAACUGCUUUUAUCUGUGACGAUUUUGACGGUAGCAGAUGAAUAAGGAUCGGCUAACUCCGUGCCAGCAGCCGCCGUAA
rnacentral:rRNA from 1 species